AUUAUGAUUUAAAAAAAAGAAAGAGAAAAAUUGUAAUUGACAUAAGAAACGUCUCCUCUUCCUCUCCCUGUCUCUCCCACAUCGAUCGCUAAUUCAAUUCCUUACCUCAGAUGCUCUCAUCAUCAUCUGCCAGCCUUCAAACGAACCCUGAUUACUCCAAUUGCACAAUCAUCCACCGUGAUUGCUCAAACGAUGACGACGACGGCGGCGUAAAGGCGGUGAAGAAGCGCGAGAUUCUUGAUUGCUGGAGCGUCGACGGGUUUGUUCGGCCGGAGAACGUGGGAUGACUGACGAGGAGCUGUUCUGGAGAGCGUCGAUGGUUCCGGUGAAGGAGGAGUAACCAUACGAUAGGGUUCCGAAGGUUGCGUUCAUGUUUCUGACGAGAGGUUCCGAGCCAGAUAUUUGUUCCUAUCCAUGGUGUUGUACAUUGGACCCUUGCAGUAAUUAACAAAAGGGAAUGCAAAUUCAUGUAUUUUGAUUCGCUUAAUGGAUCUGAUCCUACAAUUUUGACUGCCAUGAUCAUAAACUUAAUCCCAUUUACAUUUUUUUUUGGAGAUACAAUGCUGUGAUAGUUGCAAGUAAUGAUGUGACUUGAAUUGGUUUAGGCUAAGUACUUUGGUGUGGAUCUGUUGUGAAACUUCUUAGUCGUGUGAGUUCUCUUUUGAUUUGGUUCGAUGGAUUUAACUCGGAUUGCUUGCCAGUGUUUGCUUUGGCAGGAUGAUAACUGUGAUGGAAGCAGAAAAAAUGUGAGGUUUGACUUGUCGUCAAUGUAAAAUCUUCAAGACUAAGAGUGAUGCUGUCUUCUGUUCAAAAUGUAUCAAGGUUAAGAAGCGCUAUUGCUAUGCAGAGCUUGUUUGCGAGAGCCUUUGCUUGUCAAGGUAAGUGGGCUUCAGAUUCCUUUGUUCUGGUCUCAGGAGACCUCCCGCUUGAAUAUCAGACCUGAUAUAGUAUGGUGUUUCUAGCUACGUGGAAUGUAGGUGGAAGAACACCGAACAACGAUCUCAACCUAGAAGACUUCUUGCUCAUUGAAGGCACAGCAGAUUUAUACAUCUGUGGGUACGAAUCUUGAUUCAUGGGUCUUGAUAAAGUCUCAACCUUUAUGACACAUCGUCUACUGACUCUAAGUUUUUUUUUCUUGUCUCUCAGUUUUCAAGAGAUUGUUCCGCUUGAAUAGACCUGAUUUAAUAUAAUACGUAAUGGACACAACCUCAUAUGUUUCUCUGUCGCCUC